rnacentral:lncRNA from 1 species
AGGUUACGAUGCACGAUAAGAAACGAUGAAUAAAAGGAAGUUUCCUAACAAUCUUUGUAGCUUCUUGAAGAAAAGUACAAAUGUAUCCAUGUUGAUCCUCAAGACUCUACUUAGACUUGGCUUGUACACACGUGAGACCUAUGAACUUGGCUUUGAUACCAUUUUUUCACCAUCCAAAAAUUGAUUGAUGGCAUUUUUCUAUUUCUACAAAGACAAG